GACGAACGCUGGCGGCGUGCUUAACACAUGCAAGUCGAACGGAAAGGCCCUGCUUGCAGGGUACUCGAGUGGCGAACGGGUGAGUAACACGUGGGUGAUCUGCCCUGCACUUCGGGAUAAGCCUGGGAAACUGGGUCUAAUACCGGAUAGGAGCCAUUUUUAGUGUGAUGGUUGGAAAGUUUUUUCGGUGUAGGAUGAGCUCGCGGCCUAUCAGCUUGUUGGUGGGGUAAUGGCCUACCAAGGCGGCGACGGGUAGCCGGCCUGAGAGGGUGGACGGCCACAGUGAGACUGAGAUACGGCCCAGACUCCUACGGGUGGCAGAAGUGGGGAAGAUUGCACAAUGGGCGCAAGCCUGAUGCAGCGACGCCGCGUGGGGGAUGACGGCCUUCGGGUUGUAAACUCCGUGCGCUAGGGACGAAGCUUUUUGUGACGGUACCUAGAGAAGAAGCACCGGCUAACUACGUG
rnacentral:rRNA from 1 species